rnacentral:rRNA from 1 species
UGCGUAGGCGGGUCUUUAAGUCAGGGGUGAAAUCCUGGAGCUCAACUCCAGAACUGCCUUUGAUUCUGAAGAUCUUGAGUUCGGGAGAGGUGAGUGGAACUGCGAGUGUAGAGGUGAAAUUCGUAGAUAUUCGCAAGAACACCAGUGGCGAAGGCGGCUCACUGGCCCGAUACUGACGCUGAGGACGAAAGCGUGGGGGAGCAAACA